CAAUAGCGUAUAUUAAAGUUGUUGCGGUAAAAAAGCUCGUAGUUGGAUUUCUGUUGAGAGCGACCGGUCCAUACCAUGUAUGCGUAUCUGGCUUGCUCUCGGCAUCCUCUCGAUAGACGUUACUGCGCUUGAUUGCGUGGUGCGGAUCUCGGGACUUUUACUUUGAGGAAAUUAGAGUGUUCACGGCAGGCUUUAGCCAGAAUACAUUAGCAUGGAAUAAUACUAUAGGAUCUUGGUUCUAUUUUGUUGGUUUCUAGAAUUGAGAUAAUGAUUAAUAGGGACAAUUGGGGGCAUUCGUAUCAACACGUCAGAGGUGGAAUUCUUGGAUUGUGUUGCGACGAACUACUGCGAAAGCAUUUGCCAAGGAUGUUUUCAUUGA
rnacentral:rRNA from 1 species